CGAAUGCUGACAUAAGUAACGAUAAAGCGGGUGAAAAGCCCGCUCGCCGGAAGACCAAGGGUUCCUGUCCAACGUUAAUCGGGGCAGGGUGAGUCGACCCCUAAGGCGAGGCCGAAAGGCGUAGUCGAUGGGAAACAGGUUAAUAUUCCUGUACUUGGUGUUACUGCGAAGGGGGGACGGAGAAGGCUAUGUUGGCCGGGCGACGGUUGUCCCGGUUUAAGCGUGUAGGCUGGUUUUCCAGGCAAAUCCGGAAAAUCAAGGCUGAGGCGUGAUGACGAGGCACUACGGUGCUGAAGCAACAAAUGCCCUGCUUCCAGGAAAAGCCUCUAAGCAUCAGGUAACAUCAAAUCGUACCCCAAACCGACACAGGUGGUCAGGUAGAGAAUACCAAGGCGCUUGAGAGAACUCGGGUGAAGGAACUAGGCAAAAUGGUGCCGUAACUUCGGGAGAAGGCACGCUGAUAUGUAGGUGAAGUCCCUCGCGGAUGGAGCUGAAAUCAGUCGAAGAUACCAGCUGGCUGCAACUGUUUAUUAAAAACACAGCACUGUGCAAACACGAAAGUGGACGUAUACGGUGUGACGCCUGCCCGGUGCCGGAAGGUUAAUUGAUGGGGUCAGCGCAAGCGAAGCUCUUGAUCGAAGCCCCGGUAAACGGCGGCCGUAACUAUAACGGUCCUAAGGUAGCGAAAUUCCUUGUCGGGUAAGUUCCGACCUGCACGAAUGGCGUAAUGAUGGCCAGGCUGUCUCCACCCGAGACUCAGUGAAAUUGAACUCGCUGUGAAGAUGCAGUGUACCCGCGGCAAGACGGAAAGACCCCGUGAACCUUUACUAUAGCUUGACACUGAACAUUGAGCCUUGAUGUGUAGGAUAGGUGGGAGGCUUGGAAGUGUGGACGCCAGUCUGCAUGGAGCCGACCUUGAAAUACCACCCUUUAAUGUUUGAUGUUCUAACGUUGACCCGUAAUCCGGGUUGCGGACAGUGUCUGGUGGGUAGUUUGACUGGGGCGGUCUCCUCCUAAAGAGUAACGGAGGAGCACGAAGGUUGGCUAAUCCUGGUCGGACAUCAGGAGGUUAGUGCAAUGGCAUAAGCCAGCUUGACUGCGAGCGUGACGGCGCGAGCAGGUGCGAAAGCAGGUCAUAGUGAUCCGGUGGUUCUGAAUGGAAGGGCCAUCGCUCAACGGAUAAAAGGUACUCCGGGGAUAACAGGCUGAUACCGCCCAAGAGUUCAUAUCGACGGCGGUGUUUGGCACCUCGAUGUCGGCUCAUCACAUCCUGGGGCUGAAGUAGGUCCCAAGGGUAUGGCUGUUCGCCAUUUAAAGUGGUACGCGAGCUGGGUUUAGAACGUCGUGAGACAGUUCGGUCCCUAUCUGCCGUGGGCGCUGGAGAACUGAGGGGGGCUGCUCCUAGUACGAGAGGACCGGAGUGGACGCAUCACUGGUGUUCGGGUUGUCAUGCCAAUGGCACUGCCCGGUAGCUAAAUGCGGAAGAGAUAAGUGCUGAAAGCAUCUAA
rnacentral:rRNA from 1 species